rnacentral:rRNA from 1 species
UACGUAGGGUGCAAGCGUUGUCCGGAAUUAUUGGGCGUAAAGAGCUCGUAGGCGGUUCGUCGCGUCGGCUGUGAAAACCCGGAGCUCAACUCCGGGCCUGCAGUCGAUACGGGCGGACUUGAGUGUUGCAGGGGAGACUGGAAUUCCUGGUGUAGCGGUGAAAUGCGCAGAUAUCAGGAGGAACACCAACGGCGAAGGCAGCUCGCUGGGACGGUACUGACGCUGAGGCGCGAAAGCGUGGGGAGCGAACAGG